rnacentral:lncRNA from 1 species
GAAAAUCGUCUGCGAAAUCUCUACUACAUGAUAAAAUAACAACUGUCUGAAAACUAGAAAAAGGCCCCCAUUAGACCAAAACUAUAAUAAAUAAUAACUGUCUGAAAGAAACUAGGCCUUCUUAAAUAUAGAAGGCUCACCAACUGGUACUCUUCACUCCUGUCUGAUGAAAUCUACUACUUAUCAGGACCCCUAGACUGUGCCUCAGAACCUGGAAGGAAGGGGUCAAUACAGAUGUACUGGUACAUAGAACAAUCCAAAAUAAAGAUUUUAUAUAAAUAAAAUAGUUGAGAGCUAGUCAUAAACAUCAUGAAAGAUAUAAUUUUCAAAACUCAUGGGCAUUCUUGAAAAAAACAUAAAAAAACCUUUCUGUCAAAAGCAGUUUCGGAUCUUUGUAUUACUUCUGAGUUAGGUGGAACUCCCCUAUAAGUUUGAUAUUCCACGGGCUCUAUGAAAUCUACCAUUGCUCGGUGGGGAAGCCCCCAACCCAAGUGUGCCGCAAGGAUUGGAGUGUCUGAGUCUGAUACGCCACAGGGCACUAGGCCAGAGUAUAAUAAUAUACCCAGAACGACAAAUCAUGAUUUUUGGCAAUGAGUUGUCUGAACUCAUGCCUUCUUCGGAAAAUCACCUAAGCUCUCUUUAUGCCUAAUUUUAUUCAGUUCUGAAUCAUGUAUUAUUCUAGUUUCAUCAUCUGAAAAAUCUGAUUUCAAACAUGCAUUCUAUUCUGUUCUGAAUUACCAUGGCAUUAUCUGGAUUGGUAUUGUCACACCAAGACUUGAAAGUCCUAUUUUUGAGCCCUAAUGCAUCAUGCAUGAUUCUUUCAUCAAAACAUAGUUCAGACCAUCCAAACAUGUAAUUUAACAAAGGGAAUUCAUGUUCCGAAAAUAUAAGCCAAAACUAUGCAAAAUUCUAUUUCUUUCAAUAAACAAAUGGUGGUCGUGUAAUCUUUAACAAACCAUGCAACCCUUCUCAUUAUAUGAUUAUGUUCAACAUUCAUCAACAUAAACAACCCUCUCUCUUUUGAAAUCAAAAUCAUAAUCCAAAUAAAACAUUAUUCAAGAUAUUUCAUAACAUGCUUUUUAAGAUGCAUUCAAACGAUUUCAUAGUAUAUCAUAAGUAAAUGAAAAUCAUCACAAGAGAGGGAUUUUUCAUGAAUCAUGCUCUCAAUUCAAUCAUCAACCUUAAAACAUAUGCUUACAAUAUAUAUAUAAUUUCAAAUCAAUUUGGGGGAAAGCCUAAAGGCCAAAACAAUAUCAUCAAUGCUUCUAAAGCCUGAAUAUAUUCAUAAAUCUGAAAGUCCCUUUCUUAAAAUCAAGAUUUCCAUACCCAUGAGAUUUUAAAAAAACCACGCGCACUUUAAAUUAGAAGCUUUUGAAUGAACUCUAGCUUUUGGGAUGUUAUACGUACGAUUGAUGGGUGCCUCUUGUAGCCCUCGCAAUGGGGAUUUCGAAUCUUGAAGAAUUAAGGAAAACCCACAGUUAAAUCUUGAGAUAUUUGGGUUUUUAGUUUUAAACCCUAGGGUGAGUUCUUGAUGAAUUUGAGAGAAAAGAACAAUAUUUUGGUGCUUUGGGAGUUUAAUCCUGUGUUAUAGCUGGAUAAGGGAUGGAGUAUACCCAUUUUGCCCUUAAAAAUGUGGAAACAGAACCUGAAAUUUUGAUGCGUGUGAUAGUGCGUGCGUUGCACGCUUAUCGCAUAAUGCUACUAUCUUAGUCGCUAAAAUGGCCAUAACUUUUUGGUCGGGCAUCAAAUUUAGGCAAAAUUGGUAUUGUUAGAAAGAUAAUUUGAAGAUAUUUCAUUUGAUAUAUAGUAUAACCUCUAAUUCAUUAUAUAAAAAGAUUUAUGGUCGAUUGAAAUUGACCCAAGUUUCGACGCUCACUCAAACUCGAAUGAUAGGAAAGCUUUCAACUCGUCCUUCAGUUAGGGGAUCUCUACGAUCUCAAUUCAUGCUUAAAUAGGUUAACACACUACAUAAUUGAUUAACAUGCCAAAUUUGCAUAGGAUUUAUGGAUUUUGGAUCAUCUAUGCAUAGAAACGAUGAUUUUUAUUCUAGCCCAAAAUGCAGGGUAUUACAUUAUCUCCCCCUUGGGAUCAUUCAUCCCUGAAUGAUGGGUAGGAAUGUUGAAGUCUUAAUGGUAUGGAAUAACGUGGAAAUGAUAUGUCUUCUAAGAAAGAAUAUAUUGAUCUGAAACAUUUAAAUUUCCAUCAUGAAACAGAAUUCUGAGUUGACUUGCCCUUACUUGCUUUAAGGAGAUGAUUCAUGCUGAGAAUUUAGGAUUCCCUUGAGGUGUUCAUGAUCCAAUCAUACAUAUCAAAUUGAGAAGUGAUAACUUAUGUAAGUAUGAAUCUUGAUACAACAAGAUUUAGAUCGUAUGAUAUGGAAAUAAUCACAGAUAUGGACUUAGGAGAGUGCGUGUUAGACCCAAGCCUUGGCACGUGCAAUUGAAGUGUAAAAAAGGCCCAAAAUGCACCCAAAUUAGCCCAUAAAUUACACUAGAUGGGUGUCCACUCUUUGAAGAGCCUUUUGGUCAUUUUAACUUAUAUUUUGUUAUAGCAUUAAAAGGAACAUUGUAGGGUUUUUAGUUUAGUUUAUGAAUGAAGUUGUAAGUCUUACAAGACAAAGAAACACAAGUCCUAUUUCCUUGAGGCACCCAAAAUCGAAAUUAGGUCUUAGACAAGUGUAGAAUCACUUAUGUUUGGAUUUUCUUGGAAACAUUGAUGCUUGGGAGGUGGAUUCGGAUCUUGUGUCUUUGUAAGAGAUAGGUUUAUUGUUGUGUGUAGUGUUAAGGGUCCAAGAGUUACCAUUCUUGGGUUCUUAACAUUAUACCUUCACGUGUUCUAUCUAUCUAUUCUUUUUCUUUUGUAAUCUUGUAUCCGUUUUGUAUCUUGUAUUGUGAAGCUGUUUUUGUUGUUGUUGUUGUUGUUGUUGUUCUCAUUGUUAUUUCAUCUUGUGUUGUUAACUUAGUUUGUUGUUGGCAGUAAAAGGUGUCAAACACCUAGUUAUAUUGUUCUUCUUGUAUUUCAUUUUUGAAUCCGAGAGUGGUCUUCAAAAGGGUCCUCAAUUCUUUGAAUUAGUGGACUGUUUUUGGAGUGUGUUUGGACUAUUUUGAGCCAAUUUCGUGUGUUCCUUGGUUUUAUUAUAUCAUUUGGUAUCAAAGCCAUCUUUGGUUUUGUUCUUACAAUAUCAAUCUUGGGCUUUAUUUUUAAGAAAAUAAAAAAAUAAGAAAAAGAAAAGAAAGACGUGUUCUUGAGCUUGAGAUCUUGACCGAGAAGUUGAACUUAUUGUUGUUGUAUCUUGGACGAAUGUUGUGUGUCUAGGUUUAGGAUUUAUUUUUAUUGUGUUGUUGUUUCAAGUGUUAGUAUUCUUGUCCAUUAACACUUUGAGUCGAUCUAGAUUUGAGCUUUAAAAAAAUUGAUGUUGUUGUUGUGAACAAGACCAUGGCCGUGUGUUGAAUUUGGUGUUCUUGGACGUGUGGACUUGUUGUUAUAGUCUUGGUUGGAUGUUGUUGGUGUUUUUGUUUCUCUUGAUAAAGUUGUUGUUGAGUUCUUGACAUUCAUCACAACCUUCACCCUUGCUAAAACCAAAAUACAACACCAAAAAGAACAUUCGCCGUGUGUUGACACUAAAAUUGGCCAUGAUGUGUGUUGAUAUUUGUUGUGGGGUGGAAAUUGUUGUUGUGUUGUUGAUGUGUUCUUGAAGUUUGUUGUGGUGUUCAUCUUGUUCUUCAUCUCACCUUACAACUUAAGACAACCAAAGUGUAACAUAGAUUCAAAAAGGUGAACGUACAAGUUGUAAAGUUGUUUGUGAGAAGACUUGAGCCAUUACUUUAUUGACUUAACAUCUACUUUUCAACUACUUUUCUUAUUUCAAGGGACCUUGUUUUGUGGGAAUUGUACAAAGUCAAGUCUUACCUUUUGAAGAUUAUACUUAAAGGAGAUUUAAGACAUAUACUUUCCCUCCAAAACCAAUUGUUUCCAUUACAUAGUAACUAAAGUUUGUAAACUUCAACUAGUGACUAAUUGUGGGNNNNNNNNNNNNNNNNNNNNNNNCAUUACUAACUUACAAGCUAGUUUUAGAUUGUAAGUUAGUUUUGAAACCGUCCUUCGUGUAUACGUUCCUUUGUAUGUCUUAUUCUUUUGAGUCAUUGUAAUAAUUGGUCUACCUCUUACUGCCUCAUGGAGUACAAGCAAAGGUUACAACACUUGUGCGAUCAAAGUGAGAAAAAAAUCUGAGAGCCAAAAUAAUAGAGAGGGAGUGUGAGGACCAUUCUUGUACAACUAACUUGUUUGUUGUUUUGUAGGUAACUUCUUGGCCAUAAUGGAAACCACUUUGGCCCUCCUUGAUGCUUUGUCCCGAGACCUUGCUAGGGCAAAUGCGGGUCUUAAAAAAUUGACUUGGAUGUGGUAACUAUGCGUGAGAGGUUGGAUCGAAUGGAGAGUCGAAGGAACUCUCAUGCUUUUACUCCCGAAACUUUACUUCCAAUGACCAAUCCUCCAAGACAACCACAUAAUACCACAAGCGAAACUCCAAAUAGCCCUCAAAAUCGAGAACAAGAUAGACCACUUCUCCCACAAGUUGAUUAAGUCCAACAAUAAAGAAUUGGAAGCCAAUUUCCUCCCAUCCAAGCUCCACAAUCGAAGCUCCAUGUUACCAAAUCGAGCCUCUCAACCAAAACUUCCUUUUCCAAAAACUGACACAUCCAAGAAGAGGAACAUGGUAGAGAUAGACAUGAAGGAUGUGGAGUCUGCGAUGAUGCUUAUAUGAUAGAAGGAGACUUGAGUCGGAUGAGAUUGAAGGCCAAUAUCAAGAGGGAUAGGAAGCCGAGGGUCAAAAUAAAAAUGUUGUAUCCGAGACUUAUUGUCAUUAUGCUCUUGGGUUUGGCUAGCUUGUGGACUAUUUUUCUGCAUUUUUUGUGGGCUGUUUUUAUCUCAUUUUUUGAUACGUCCCUUGUUAUUAUUGAACUCUCGGGCUCUUCAUAUUUUGCGGACUAUUUUUGAGUAGGUUUCCUUUGUAGUGACCAAUUGAAUGAGGUGAAGCCAUGAAUUUGUGGACAAAUUCCUCUCAAGAUGGAGAUGAUGAUACGAGAAUAAUCACGGAUAUGGACUUAGGAGAGUGUGUGUUGGAACCGAGCCUUGGAACGUGCAAUUGAAGUGUAAAAGAGGCCCAAAAUGUACCCAAAUCAGCCCAUAAAUUACACUAGAUGGGUGCCCACUCUUUGAAGGGCCUUUUGGUCAUUUUAACUUAUAUUUUGUUAUAGCUAUAAAAGGAACAUUGUAGGGUUCUUAGUUUAGUUUAUGAAUGAAGUUGUAAGUCUUACAAGACAAAGAAACACAAGUCCUCUUUCCUUGAGGCACCCAAAACUGAAAUUAGGGCUUAGAAAAGUGUAGAAUCACUUAUGUUUGCAUUUGCUUAGAAACAUUGAUGCUUGGGAGGUCGAUUACGAUCUUGUGUCUUCGUAAGAGAUAGGUUUAUUGUUGUGUGUAGUGUUAAGGGUCCAAGAGUUACCAUUCUUGGGUUCUUAACAUUAUACCUUCACGUGGUCUAUCUAUCUAUCCUUUUUCUUUUGUAAUCUUGUAUUCAUUUUGUAUCUUAUAUUGUGAAGCCGUUUUGUUGUUGUUGUUAUUCUUCUUCUCAUUGUUGUUUCAUCUUGUGUUGUUAACUUAGUUUGUUGUUGGCUGCAAAAGGUGUCAAACACCUAGUUAUAUUGUCCUUAUAUUUCAUUCUUGAAUCCGAGAGUGGUUUUCAAAAGGGUCCUCGAUUCUUUGAAUUAGUGGACUAUUUUUGGAGUGUGUUUGGACUAUUUUGAGCCAAUUCUGUGUGUUCCUUUGUUUUAUUGUAUCAUCGUACAAAGGUAUUACACUUUCUGAGCUAAAAUGCCUAGAGAGAUUUGAGACUAUGCGCUGAACUCUUAUGAACUGAGUCAUGAGUAAAUAGCUGAAUCUGAAACAUGAUGUUCGGACUGAACGGAAUUCACAAUUUACAUAGAUGGAAUAGAUUAUCUCUUGGGAUGGUCAUAUACAUGGGACUUCAGAUAGCAGGACUGGGUGUAAAGGUGGAAAACCACAGUAACUUGUUUUCGUGACUGUUAAACUGAACUACUGGUUAUACGGGCUGAAUUAUACUGGAAACUUAUACUUAACUGGAGUAUCUCUUCAACACNNNNNNNNNNNNNNNNNNNNNNNNNNNNNNNNNNNNNNNNNNNNNNNNNNNNNNNNNNNNNNNNNNNNNNNNNNNNNNNNNNNNNNNNNNNNNNNNNNNNNNNNNNNNNNNNNNNNNNNNNNNNNNNNNNNNNNNNNNNNNNAACUUCUUACUUUCAAGCUUAGCGCACUUCUCGAAUACUCCCUUAACUAUAUUAUUCCCUUUAAAUACCAUACUCAUUGAUUCAAAUUGUAAUCCUCAUAUGGGCAUUGAUAAAUCUUUCUACUAAUGUCUAAAGUAACAUAAGUCCUCUCACCAUGAUCAAGCCAUACUUCAAAUCACAAAAGACAAUAUGCCACACCAUGAUACUAGUCUAAACCAUAUGAUUCAAUCUUAUAUAUAUAUGUAUAUAUAUAUAUAUAUAUAUAUAUAUAUGUAUAUAUUUUAAAGAUCACACCCUAAACUUAUCGUGCCUUACCACUUCAAUGACUAACUCUGAUCUCUUACUAUGGAUUCACUAGCGCAUAUUGUGUUCGUCCACUUAAAUCUCAACAUGUCAUUCAAGCCUAUGUUUAUAACCACAUAUGAACUCCAAGGCAAACACCCAUAAGGACAUACUUCACAUAUUCUCUAAUCCACUAUCAAUAUAACUCCCACGCACAACCCCAAUAACAUACACAUACAAAUUUCAACUAACCAUCACAUAUAUCAGAGACUUGGCCCCAGAUCUUACUUCAUACUUAUGGCCUUAUCUAAAACAAGCAUACUAUGAUCUUUCAUUAACAAGAAACAUUUACUCAUCACUACUAUCAUCACAUAAGGAGGAGUCACUAAAAGGUUAGAACAUAAGACCUUGAAGCAUGGGAGGAUAUUAUAUGAGACUUGACACUUAACUGAUGCCGAAAAAAUAGCAAAUCAACAUCAGGGAUUUAUCAAAGUGAUCUGAAUUAGGGCAUACAUGACUAUAAGCUGAAUCUCAUCAAUCAUAAAGAGUAUAGCAUGAAUUAUGGGAACUAGGCACACUAUAAAGCGUGAGUACAUGAGUCAUGAGUUGCAUAACCUCAAUUUGAAGUUCAUAACAUAUGGAAUGUGAUUCCGACUACUGAAUGAACUGGAACUCCUCAUUUUAGAACUGAAAAAACACGUGAUUAUCUAUUAUAUUCAUGAACAUGAACUAUGAUCAUGGAACUGAAACGUAAGGCAUGAGUAGGUAUUGGGAUCACUGAAAAAUACUGAGAUAAGAAUGGGUUGAGUCUCACCCUCACUUUCUGAUGUUCUAUAUCAUACUGAUAUCUCUACUAGAAUCUGAGAGCCUGACUUGGUUACUUGUUCUAUCAUCUCCCCCUUAGCUUUAAGCCAUCAUCUUAAGUUCGAGAGAUACCUUACUAGACUCUAAAAUGAACUACACUCACUGUACUCUAGGGUCUGAAAUACGACAAUACACAUAAUUAAUAGAGCUUAACCCGAAUGGCUACACCUGGAAGGGGAAAACCCACUGCUAAUCCUACCUUUUAAGACACACUCUAUCUUUCUAUAGCCCCAAUAGUCAAUCACAUAAUACUUGUACACUUACUAACUUUGAAUCCUUGUGAGUAUUCCCAUAGUCGGAGUACACACCCUAUAGUGCUUCAACUCUUAUUUCUGUCAAUUCAACCUUCAAAAAUUCAAAAUUAGAUUAUAACACUUAAUCAUGGAUAUCACCAAGACUUUGAUGAAUCAUACUACUAGUCUUUCUCCACCUAGAAACUCAACGGUACUACUAUGUCCACUAGACACAUGCAACAUGCAAUGGUCUUAGAAAAUUCUGUAACUCCAUAUCACCUUAGGCAUACUUCUACCUCAUACAUACAAUAUCAUACUUUGUUACUAAUCAAAUAAACUUAAUCUAUUGCAUACACCAUUCAAGCCUAUUAGAUCACUUCCAUAUAACUAGUAUCAUUAACCAAGAAAUCAUCACAUCCACCUUUAUGGACAUCAACUGUUCAAACUUAAUGUCUAGUGCUAAGCAUGAUUUACAACCCAACCUGACACACAAUUCUAAAAAAGCAUUCAUUAUUAAUCUUAAGCCACUAUUCUUAUAUCCACAUCCUACAUUAAAUUCAAGCCAAUAGUCUAGCAUCAAUCAUCUACUACCAAUGAAGAAGGAAACAUAAUAUACUAGUCCAUCAAAUUGGGACAUUCUAUCCAAGUACCUCAAAAAUCUACUACAUACCUUCUCACAAGUAGUACUAGUUUACAACUACCAAUGAAAAGAAGGUCAAGGGGGGUAAAGUCAUAUAAUAGACAUGGUCAACCUUAAUGUUAUAUUAUAACCCCAUGCAAUCUUAUCUACUUAUACGGCUUUCUCAUAUCACACUUACUUACCCAAGCAUACAUUUAGACUACCUUCAAAUUCCAUAAAUAACCAUGAAUUUAUAAUUAUAACUUACUGGCUCAUCUAGCCGUUUUCAUACUUUAAACAGACAAAAAUUUACCUUAACUAAUAACUCUUUCUCUACCUUCUACUAAACUAACACACAAGGAUGUAUCACUUCAUUACCAACUCAAUCUCAUGAGAAAAGAUUCGACUAUACAUAUAUUCAACCAACACAAGAACAACAAGUUGCUAGUGAAUCAAAAUAGGCCUCACACGGCUUCACUAGACUUUGAUUUUUGUGUUUUGAACAAGAAAAUGAAAUGAAUAACAAAGCAACUAUGCCAGUGAAUCAAAAGAGCCCCACACAGCUUCACUAGACUUUGAUUUUUUUUUUCAAAAACACUAUAAUAACAAGAUUACAUAUUACAAGAGAUAAAAAAUUGAUACACAAUAUUCAAUGAUCUAAGGAUACAUAUCUUACUCUGUAUAAAUAAAAAUCUGAGUCAAACACUUCCCCCACAAACUACCAUACAAUCCACAAAUGCUACUAGCUACCACAUUAGUCUAUCACUAUAAAGUGGUAAAUCAUCCUCAAACAUCGGUUAUUCAACUAGAAUAUUUAUUUACACAAAAGUCACCCUCACUCUGACUUCUAACUUUGUGACUUCAUAUCACUAACCUUUUGGUCUAAUCUCACUACCAAUAGGUCAUGACACUGACACUUUAACUUAUACUACUAAUCGGGUGGAAAUACAAUUUCAACAUUCUACUACACAUCAUUCUCCUGAAGCAUGACAUCUGCAACAUAAAUUUUUGAAAAGAGACGGAAUACUCUUAAUACCGCAGGCCGAAAAGUAUGAUUUCAUCAGAAUCAAAGUUCACAUAAAAAUCAAUACACUCUGAAGCACUAACGGACUCUUCUCAAGUCCUAACAAAAAUUUUAAACUCUUAUAUGGCUCAAUCAGAAAGGAUCAUACCAUUUAGACUCUAAACUUCUGCACUUGAAUCACCCUAAUAACGAGACAUAUUUGGGCACAUCAAAGUAAGGAAAGAAUUGGGAUAGCUUUACUUUCAUAUGGGCGACACCAUAGAACGAAUUAGAGUAUGUAAGAGGAACAUUCUGGAUCAAUAGCACGAACUAGAACAUGAAGAAAGGGAAACAUUCCUAAACGCCUAGUAUCCUCUUACUUAUAAGUGUGGUGCGCUACACAUCUAUAAAUAAGACUCUACCCAACGUGAUUUUACAGACACCCUAGGACCAUGAACCGUGCUCUGAUACCAAGUUUGUCACGACCCGAACCAGGCCCCUGGCCGUGACGGAUAUCUCAAACCAUAAAGACCUGAGAGCCCUUCUAACUUGUAAUCAUAUACACCAUUCAUAUAUAAAUAGGAAAUGCGAAAAUAAAAUCUUCUACGAAACAUGGUCAUAAUAUAAAUUUAGUUUAACAAUGAGGAAUAAAAUCCAACAUCAACUAAACACUGUCUGAAAACCAUCUACGAAAUUUCUAUUACAUAAUAAAACAACAACUGUCUGAAAACUAGAAAAAGGCCCCCAUUAGACCAAAAGUAUAAUAAAUAAUAACUGUCUGAAAGAAACUAGGCCUUCUGAAAUAUAGAAGGCUCACCAACUGGUACUCUUCACUCCUGUAUGAUGAAAUCUACUACUUAUCAGGACCCCUAGAUUGUGCCUUAGAACCUGGAAGGAGGGGGUCAAUACAGAUGUACUGGUACAUAGAGCAAUCCAAAAUAAAGCUUUUAUAUAAAUAAAAUAGUUGAGAGCUAGUCAUAAACAUCAUGAAAGAUAUAAUUUUCAAAACUCAUGGGCAUUCUUGAAAAAAACAUAAAAAAACCUUUCUGUCAACAGCAGUUUCGGAUCUUUGUAUUACUUCUAAGUUAGGUGGCACUCCCCUAUAAGUCUGAU